UUUUGUACACUUGGCUCACGUGAUCACUAAAGGAGAGCCUCCCGUCGAUCACUGUACUAAGGAAAUGAUCAACAACAGCCGAUGUAGACUCUGAGACAUUGGGCGUAAGACGACAAUAUUCUUACCGUUCUGUACAUUUCCUCCGCCUUCACGACAUCGUACUGCCGAGCUGAAAUACAGAAGACAAUUCAUCAUGCACACGCGCGAACAGACGUACAGAUGGAUGCCCUUUAAGAUAGGUCGUGAGUAGGCCUCCACGCCUGGUCCUUCCCCCCGACCACCACCACCACACCACCCGGCGUCGGUGCGCGGUCUUCCUGUGGGAAAUGAGGCAGAGGUAGGACAGCUCGUCACGCUCGGCCUGACGUCAUGGUGAGACUGGCGCGACGCAGUGCUGACUGAAACAACGCGCAUUUCCGGGACCGCGCGUGAAAGACACGAGCAGGAAGUGGAGGAAAAGAUGAUGAAGGAAAAAAGGCGAGGCAAUGGGAGCGUACUUCUUAGUAACCGUCUGCGCGGCUAUCAUCCGGACCUACGAUCCUCCGCUCCUCUGGUCCGCACUCGGACUGCUACAGGAUGCAAGAACUCACGGGCUUCGAAAUGUGAUUGGCUGAGCCCGGGGUCACAAGUUGACCUCAACACACCUCGCUCUUUUGGUCAGACAUGCUUUCGUGACUUCUACUGGUCGUAGAUGCUCUUUUUUGUCAGAGAAACAGUCUCAUGGCAAAUGAAGCUGAAGGGGGUAAAGAGGGACAAGGAUUGAUCAGUGUUUCCCAUCCAUAAAAUUCCACCCCUUCUCAUUACAAAAUGUUUGCAGGUUUUCAGGCCACAGCUAGGACUAGAGUACAGUAUUAGGUUGGGUUUUUCAUUGACCAGUCGCGGAAAAUAUACAUAUAUUAAUAUGAUCGUCAUCAUGAUUACCGAUGUCAAGUAUCAUCUUUAACUGGGUGUGUAAAUAUAGUGUGUCACUGGCAUUCAAUAACAAGUAAUGACGAAAUAUGAGCUUUCGUAAGUUUUCAGAAUGUUUACACAAUAUCUCACGCUAUGAGACCUCCGACGUAUGUUUACAGUCGUGAGACUUCCUAACUAAACUCUUUUAUGUUUUCAGACCCCUGACUCCAAAUCCAACUUCAGUUUAAGAGAAAAAAAU